rnacentral:tRNA from 1 species
CCCCGUGUGGCUCAGUUGGUAGAGCAUGGUGUUUGCAACACCAGGGUUGUGGGUUUGAUUCCCACGGGGG